CAGCAAAAGCCUGGAGAAAAGCCUAUCCCAGUGGAUCAAAUCAAGAAGGAACCAGAACCAGCCCCUGAAGCUGUCAAGCCAGAGGAAAAAGAGACUGUAAAGAAUGCUCAGCAGAGUGCUGGUGCUAAAGGACCACCUGAAAAACGGAUGAGACUCCAGUGAAGGGAGAAGUUGUUACACAUCUGGAUUAGUCAGUACUUGGAAAACAGGACAUUCUUGCUCCCAUUUCUUAAUAUUUAAGCUCUUCAACUGAGACUGACGAUUCAGGGACUGAAGUACCUGUAACAGCUUUUUCUGUAGAAACCUGUCAUGCAAAUGUUAAUGUCAGGAUGUGAGCUGCCUCAAAGAAGGUGUUUUCGCUCUUCAUCUUAUUUUGAAUGUUGGCUUCUGAGAAUGGUUUUUACAUGGACAUAUUUUGCAGCCUCCUGAAAUCUAUAUGAACUCAUGCAUCCCUUGUGUCUUGGUUUCCUAUGUAAAAAGAAACAUUUUUCUAUUAAAAAAAAAAAAAUCUGAAUUCUUGGCAAAUAAAACUCUUGGCUGCUGGAA